UUCUCCCAUAAGAACCCUCGUUAGCGAGUUUGGCGAAGCUCCAAACCUCUUUAACAGCAUCUUUGGUGGAU